rnacentral:lncRNA from 1 species
AGUGAAAAGUAUCAAGUGUUUAUAUAAUUUUGAAAUUUCACCACAUUGUCAACUUACUACAGGUAUCAAUGACAAAUAAAAGUAGAAAAGUUUGAAGAAAUGCUUCAGAGUAUAUAAAGAUCAAAGUACUGUCAUGACUCCUCAACACUGGAUUUUGCUCACUUUACUUCUCUGCUUCUAGACAUUUAGCCAAAGGUAGUCUUUGUUGAGACUCAUACAUGGAAUUUCUGUCUGUACAAUAUUGGCACUAAAUUUCUUGUCUUUCAAUUUUAGAAAAGGAAGAGACCUUAUGACCUAUUGUGAACUUCAUUGUUUCUAAUAAGUAGGCUUUGAGCUUGGUCGAGAUGAUAGCAUUAAUAAAAUUCACACUGGACUUCAAGAAUGCAUUUAAUUAUAAACUAAAUACUAUGUCUUUUAGAAAAUUUCAACUCCU